AUGGGGGUGGCCAAGUGGUUAAGGCAUUGGACUUUAGAUCUAUGUGGGUUCAAACCCCACUCUCCAUA
rnacentral:tRNA from 1 species